rnacentral:rRNA from 1 species
UAAUACGGAGGGUGCAAGCGUUGUUCGGAAUCACUGGGCGUAAAGCGCGUGUAGGCGGCUUCAUAAGUCUGGUGUGAAAUCCCGGGGCUCAACCCCGGAACUGCGCUGGAAACUGCGAGGCUAGAGUACCGGAGAGGAGAGUGGAAUUCCUGGUGUAGCGGUGAAAUGCGUAGAUAUCAGGAGGAACACCGGUGGCGAAGGCGGCUCUCUGGACGGCUACUGACGCUGAGACGCGAAAGCGUGGGGAGCAAACAGGAUUAGAUACCCUGGUAGUCCACGCUGUAAACGAUGGGUACUAGGUGUUCGGGGUAUUGACCCCCUGAGUGCCGCAGUUAACACAUUAAGUACCCCGCCUGGGGACUACGGCCGCAAGGUUA